rnacentral:rRNA from 1 species
CCUACGGGGAGCAGCAGUAGGGAAUCUUCCACAAUGGGCGCAAGCCUGAUGGAGCAACACCGCGUGAGUGAAGAAGGGUUUCGGCUCGUAAAGCUCUGUUGUUGGAGAAGAACGUGCGUGAGAGUAACUGUUCACGCAGUGACGGUAUCAAAACAGAAAGUCACGGCUAACUACGAGCCAGCAGCCGCGGUAAUACGUAUGUGGCAAGCAUGAUCCGGAUUUAUUGGGCGUAAAGCGAGCGCAGGCGGUUGCUUAGGUCUGAUGUGAAAGCCUGCGGCUUAACCGAAGAAGGGCAUCGGAAACCGGUCGACUUGAGUGCAGAAGAAGACAGUGGAACUCCAUGUGUAGCGGUGGAAUGCGUAGAUAUAUGGAAGAACACCAGUGGCGAAGGCGGCUGUCUGGUCUGCAACUGACGCUGAGGCUCGAAAGCAUGGGUAGCGAACAGGAUUAGAUACCCGUGUAGUC